CCCCCUAUAGCUCAGCCGGUAGAGCAUCUGACUUUUAAUCAGCGGGUCGCAGGUUCGAGUCCUGCUGGGGGGACCA
rnacentral:tRNA from 1 species